AUUGUUUUCUUCAGAAAAUUGUGGCUAAAAUGGAUUGUCCCCCAUCCACUAGGUGACGUGAGUGUCUUCGUCAAGACGAAAUAUUUGCCAUUUGUUUCCGAGACGCUGACUGAAAGUGUUUUCCAAAUUCAUUACGAAAUUGCGGUGUCGAUCUACAUUUUCAGCCAUGAAAUGUAAUUGGAAAUCUGGCAUAUAAUUUCACUUGGCCAAAUAAUGUGACCACUUGGGUCGAAACUGCUGUGCCGAAAUGUCGGCCAUUGUUAGCUGUACCUAUUCGGCUGUACGUCUCAUCUCGUGCAGAAACACUUCAGGAGCUAGUAAAGUCAGAGACGGAUAUCCUUUUGCUCAACUGUUGCAGAAAUUGAGAACACAACAAAGUCUGAGCCUCAUGGCUGUCGUAUCAUUAACCUGGUUUUGUUGCAGCUAGCUGGUAAAGGUUUGAUGGGGGUCAAGUUGAGCAGCAGCUGCUGCAUGCAGUUUAUCAAGCUGGUGUUAUCCAAAGUGUCACUGCAAGAAGACUUCAUGAAUUGGAGUUCAUGGUCGGUUUGAUGUUUAUGGUGUUGCUGUUUGGUGUACAGUGGUUUUGCAGCCCUUUUCCAGUUGAGAGAUGCUCUGAAAUGGAGUUUGUGCAGACUUGCAGUUCAACAUCACACUUAAAUGUCUCGUUUGUCUAUGUUGGUCUCCAUGCUCUAUGCAUUGUUGAACAGUUGGAUGUCGGUCUUAUUUUAUCGGUUGCAUUUUGUCGAUAUGUCGUCUCUUGGUACCGGCGUUGAGUUGAAUCGUUUGCUGCCGUUCCAUAGACUUGAUCCAUUUGUAAAACUGAGGGGAGGUUGCUGAAAUUAAAAACUCGUCAAUAAAUUAUGUAGAUGUAAACAAAUUACAGGUGCAUAUCUGGGCUCCCUUCUUCAGUGGCCCCGUUUCCCUAACUAACCACUAACCAACGCCCUCCGGUGGUGACUCACUCGUUGCGACAACCAGGAGGAAGGGAGAUGUCUGGUCGAACGGGGACUUGCAAUAAGGCGCAUGUUUCGAUGAAAUCUGUUGGAGGGUCAUGAGUCUAAGCCGGAAGCCUACUAUGAUGCAUUGCUCUCUUAAAAACUGUUCCUCGGCUCUCUUCGCUCUUUUUCCGGUUUCUCUUAACCAUGGCCGGGUAAUCUCCCUGGUCAAGUCAGUCGGACACUGUCUUCUCCUGCUUGACUGGCUGCAUUUUGAACCGGAUGGUCUGUUUAAAUAAGAAUUUAAAUCUAGAACAACGCUUCCUUUGAGCGGCCCGGACAAUCCUUAAGGGUUGCCACUCCAUCGAGGCUUAAACGAGGAUGACGCGGAGGUGUUGCCCAUUGAGGGGUUUUGGUGAAAAGAAGUCACUGAACAAAACGCUAAACCAAAUGAAAAAAAUAUUAAAAAAGGCCCAACCCCAGCAACGUCAACCUGCAGAAAGAAAAAGGCCAAUUUCCAUGGCCUUCAGACUCGAAGGUCGCGGAGAUAAUUACGUAAAACUGGCAUGGGGUGGUGUAGAGGUUGGGUGAGAAUGACACGUGUUUCAACAUUAUCAAGCAGACCCAUCCCCGGCAAAGUCACCUGCAGAAGGAAAGGCC